rnacentral:misc_RNA from 1 species
UUUUUUUUUUUUCGCAUUCAAAUAUAUCACUCAAAGGUGGAGUAGGUUAAAAGUACAGCAAGUAUCCAAAAACACCUCUGGCUAUUCAGCAAGAGAUUGAAAACAAAAGGAUGUCAUACAUUAGUCGUCCUAUUUGUCUGACGAAACUACCUUUAAACUGUGAAGGCAAAAUUUUUUUCAUUAGAAAAGGCUACUUCAGAAUAUUGUCAACUCAAUAAUAUAUUGAGAGUGUCCGAUGGUGUCGAAGAGAUGGGCACCGCACGCCAAAAGCCCAGAGCCAAAGGUCCAAUUCAAUACUCAGCACCUGCUUUCCUGAUUUUACACGAAGCAAGUCCCUCAUUUUCUCCACAGCAUAUAUGGAGCAUGCUCGUAAUUCAACUUCCUCCUCACUGCCUGAAAGUAUUUCAUUAUCAGACUCGAUCAUUCUGACAAGGGUUGAACUAUAUUUUAGCACACCAAGUUGCUGAAGCACAGCAGGAACAAUAUAGUCCGCAAAUAUAGUAAUUGAGCCAAUGUCCGUGAAUUCUCCAUAUCCUCGGCCCUUGAAUGCACCAAAUAGAUCAGCUGCAAAUAUCUGAGCUCUUUUAUACAAGAAUACUUGGUGGCCCUUGUAUACUGAGUGAUCUCGAAAGCCAGGAAAGAUACUGGUUACAGUAGCAACAAGCUUUGCAGCUGAUUUCCCACAGGUUUCCACAAGAUUGGAUGCUUUACCUCCAAAACUUCUUUCCAGCUCAAAACCAACCUCAUGGAGUAAACGAAUCCGCUCAUCCUCCAAAGGAAGUGGCCUGGGCCAUUUUAACAAAUCACGUAAUUGAGGACCUGUGAACUUCUGCAGACGAUCAGCAUCAAACACAGAUUUGUCAUUUUCCAAAGCUGCCUUUAGGCCUGAUGCCAAAUGAUCAUAGCUUAAAUCCUUAUCAGGCCAGAAGCAAAAAUUCAACGUAUCCAAAACAAACAAAUACUGAACAGUUAGCGGUCCGUUAUCGAAGUAAUGAAUCCCUUCAAAAUCCCACUCUAUUCUCGGAAUUUCCUGAAUAUUCUCCACCGCUCUCUCAAUCCCUGCAGAGUCGACGACAACGUGAAAGGAACAGCUAGCCACCCAAGCAGCGCUGGCCCUGACCUCUUCCAUGGCUGCUGGCUGCUAAUUUUGAACCCUAAAAAAGGAUAGUAUUUUGGGAUACAUAUGGUUG